rnacentral:rRNA from 1 species
UACGUAGGCAGCGAGCGUUGUUCGGAAUUACUGGGCGUAAAGGGCUCGUAGGCGGCCAACUAAGUCGGAUGUGAAAUCCCCAGGCUUAACCUGGGAACUGCAUCCGAUACUGGUUGGCUUGAAUCCGGGAGAGGGAUGCGGAAUUCCAGGUGUAGCGGUGAAAUGCGCAGAUAUCAGGAGGAACACCGGUGGCGAAGGCGGGUCUCUGGGCCGAUACUGACGCUGGAGGAGCGAAAGCGUGGGGAGCGAACAGG